UGGAUGUAUUGUAUUGUUCUAUGUUUAUUGUUUUUCUCAAUAACACGGGAAUUGUAGCGAUUGCCAGUCGAAACGUUUAAAUGAUUUAACACGUAUUCACUGUUUAUUUAUUCUCAUUCAGCUUUCGACGUUCUUAAAGAAAAAUGCAAAACAGAAAUUGAGCAAAAAGAUUCAGAAGUAAACACGUUACAAAGGCAAUUAAAAGAACUAGGUAUGAAAAUGUUAAUUGAAUGGCAUCAGUAGUUAUUCAAAACGCCAAUAUUCGAACUGCAUAAUCAUCGUGCAGUUCUGUUAUUAUUUGCUGAAAUGGCAAAUCAAAAUAUAUUUAAGCACACAUAGAAACGGUUUGCAUAAUUGACCCUAUCUUUGUUAUCGGUAAUAGGGGAAGAUCUGUACCGUUUGCCUCUUAAGCCCGCAGGUACAGGGUUGCACUAAGGAUUGCGCUAAGGACAGCACGGUAGCGCAGCCUAGAGAGCCAUCAAUCCGGGUUCGACGACGGGUGCUCUAUAUACGGAGUUUGCACGUUCUCCCCAUGAACUCCGUAGUUGUUAUUCUGGAUUUCCGCUUUCCUUCGACGUACUGGUUUGUCGGCUAAUUGGCUUGGUAAAAUGUUAAGUUGUCCCCAGAGUAUGUAGCAUAGUGUUAGUGCUCGGAGGGAGUUGUUCAGCACGGACUCUGCGGGCCGAAGCACCUGUUUGCGCGCUGCAUUUUUCAACCAAACUAAAUAAACUAAAACGUUACCUGCCAGCCUCUCAAUAUCAUUCAAUUUUUGAUGUCCGAAAUAUUUGUCACCUAUAAAUCCAAUAAUUUACUGCUGAUUCUUGGCUUAGUAAAUAUCAAUAGACAAAAUACAUUUGUACAAAUAAGACUCAGUGACCACAUAUGCUGAAUGAAGGCAGGACUUUGCAGAUACUCCACAAGAUGCCACUCACGAAACCUCUCAGAAGCGUUGACGUUUAACGUCAUUCUUCGAUAGAGAAUCGCGCACAGGGCAUUCCUGCAUAACGUUUCUUCCAAAAUGUAUGCCUUAACUUCGGAAUGCACGGUACAAUUUCGCUAAACGAUUUUCAGAAUACGAAUGUAGUGCAUUAACACGAGAACAGAAUAGUAGUUCAUACUUCGAGUACAAAACAAAACUGUUUUGCAUUAUCAACGAGCAUUUCUUCUUUUUCGUACAACUGCCAUUAAUUGAACCGACUGCAUAUAAGAAACCUGACAGGGCAGAUAGGAAAAGUAAAACGGAGGACAUUUGUAUCGAAUAAGAAUGUGAAAAUGCCAUCAUUAGAUUAAUUUCUGAUCUAAUUGGCAUUUAUUUUGUCAGUUAUGUCAUUAUACUUUCUGGGUCGUGUUUGUAUUCAGAUUGUCUGAAAGGUGUAAUUCCUUUUUUUUGCCACACGUGCAGCCUGGUCUGUUGAGUGUUGCCAGCAUUUGUGUCUCGUUUAGAAUGUCAGCACAAGCCGUUUCCAUGUAUUUGGUUCCCGGGCAUAUUGAAUCGGUGUCUUGUAAUUCUGUGGGCCAUCUCCUUGCGAUUUUCUUUUUUCGAUUAAUUCUACAUAUAUUCAAAUGCUAUUUAAACUUUAAGACGAUUACUAGAAUAAUCUGUGUUUACUACAAAAUAUUGUUUUAUUCUAUUCACAGAGAAAGCGAAAAGAGGUGAGAUGCCCCAAGGCGUAGAUGUAUGAUUGAAGCAAAAACACCGCAGCGGUAGAUAUUUUAUUUCGAAUGGAAUUACACCCGUACGUUUUUGGAACAACGCGACAAUCUGUUUGGAUAAUAAGAAUGGAUAAUUAUCUAAGAAGCAAAUAGGAACCGAUUCCGUUUAACCAAUAUCGAACCUCAUUUUUAAGCAGACGCCCUGAACAAACUGUGUACGAAGAAGCUGAAGAUGCUGGUUUACACAGAAUAUUUACACAAAAAGCCGGAGUCGCUCAAUGUGACAGGCAGCAUCGUUGUAUAGACCAUCAGAUCAUCAGAUCAUAAGUGAAAGGAGUAUUGGCCAUUCGGCCCAUCAAGUCUACUCCGCCAUUCAACCAUGGUUGAUCUAUCUCUGCCUUCUAUCCCCAUUCUCCUGCCUUAUCCCCAUAACCUCUGUCACCCGUACUAAUCAAGAAUCUAUCUAUCUCUGCCUUAAAUAUGUCCACCACGGCCCUGUGUGGCAAAGAAUUGCACAGAUUCACCACCCUUUGACAAAAUAAUUUCCUCCUCAUCUGCUUCCUAAAAGAACGUACUUUAAUUUUGAGCGUAAGGUCUUUAGUCCUAGACUCUCGCACCCGUGGAAACAUCUCUCCACAUCCACUUUAUUCAAGCUUUUCACAAUUCAGUACUGUAAAUGAGUGAUCAGACACACUUGUACUUUACACUAGUCUUUAAUGAGAACACAGGGUUAAACACACAUCAGCAGUCACUAUCUCCAAUCUGCUACUGUACCGCGCAGAUGGAGAAGAAGCUGUUAUUAUAAUUGGCAACUAAGGCGUGGUUAGGUGUAUUGAGGUAGCUAUA